rnacentral:rRNA from 1 species
UACGUAGGGGGCAAGCGUUGUCCGGAUUUAUUGGGCGUAAAGCGCGUGUAGGCGGCCAGGUAGGUCCGCUGUGAAAACCCGAGGCUCAACCUCGGGACGUCGGCGGAAACCAUCUGGCUAGAGUCCGGAAGAGGAGAGUGGAAUUCCCGGUGUAGCGGUGAAAUGCGCAGAUAUCGGGAAGAACACCCGUGGCGAAAGCGGCUUCCUGGUCCAGCACCGACGUUCAGGCACGAAAGCGUGGGGAGCAAACAGG